AAUUGGAAACUAAAUUCAAGUUUUAAAGUAAGAAACAACCAAACAUUCGAAAGUGUAGGGUUCAGAAUUUUUCAGAGUUUGAAAAUGAAUAAACUUACGUUCGUGAUAUCUGUCGCUCUUCUGAUAGUGGUGAUUUUCUCCACGAAAAGUAAAGCAUGGCUCAAAAGCUGUAAAACGGGUGGCGAUUGCUUUUGUGAUAGAAGUUGUAAUCAAACCGAUGCUGCCCAAGUUUGUAAAGAUUUCUAUGAGAUCGGCGCAGCUACAAGAGUAAUAGCAUGUCCUCGUAUAGGAAACUGCGAAUGCACCCUUAAUAACCAGUUCCUUCGCCGACGAAGAUAAAAACGAACAGAUAGAAUUUGAUUCAAUCUUUCGCAACAUACGAGUAGAUUAAACCGCACUGGAUAGCAAAGAUUAUUUUUUUUUUUAAAUUCAUUUUUAUGUACUUUUGUUAACUUAAAUGUGACAUUUUUGUGAGAAUAUUUUAAGAUCGUAAUUAAAACUGAAACAUCCGUUGCACUGUUCGAAUGCAAUUUUUAACAAUUAAAAUUUGCGAUGAAUGAAAAAAAAAUCUACCCAUUAUGUUUCAAUCUUCAUUCCGAUGAAUAGGUACAGUGUUGUGUCGUGAGUGCCUAACUGGCUUAGGAAUCCCGGCUCAGCUUUGCCCAAAAUGAAUUUUCAAUGGUUUUAAUAUGCCAUGAAAUUAAUGAGAAAUCGUAAUUUUCUAAGGUAACUACCGAUUUUCAAUGUCAACGGAUUAGGUGGGUUCAGAAACGGCGAUCAAAACAUGAGAAAACCCACGUUUUUCAAAAAAGAAUCAAAUACUUUGAGAAAUCUUUUGCUCAAAUCCUUGUACGGCUAAGGGAUUCAAUAUUUUUUCUUGUAGUCUCCCUCUCACUCAAAUUAAAUCACGUUAUUAAUUUUCGUCAAAAUUCGGAAUGUAUAUUUUUUACACCACUCAAAUGAUUUAUAUUAACGGUUUUAUUGUCGUGGAUCUGGAAGAACAUGAGAUCACUUGAUCAGCAUUCUACUUAAGCCGCGGUUUCUGACACCCCUACAAAGAUGUGAUGCGAUGAUAUUCAGAAAAAACUCACUUACCUACGUCCAAUUCGCAAUUUAAACAGAAUUGUACCAGAUUUUCAGUCACCCUUUUUACACCUUUCAACAUUGUACAGUUUCUAAGAAAACGUGGAUCCCCAAAAAUACAAUCCAAUCUCAAAAGUAAGUAAGUAUUUUGUAAUGAUAAUUUUUAUAGGUACUUAAGUGAACAUUUUUUCAAAACGGACAAAAAUUAGACUCCUCCGCCUGAGACCGAGUAGGGACGAGGGUCAGAAAAUUAUAAUGAAAAAUUAUAUUGUACCAAAGCCCCACCGUCUCAGAGUUGUGAUAUUUUCUACGACAUCGAUAAACAUUCACGACCAUGCGGUAGAAUCGUAAAAUAUAAAACGUUGAAAAUUGUAUCCGAACAAAUUAAACCUUAAUUAAUAAUUAACGUUCAAAUUCUGAAAUGCGAUUUAAAAGUGAUUUUUUCUUCAUACUAAGUAGGCAGCUUACAUAAUCAUCAACUAACUAAUUAGUUCUCAAAAACGACAACAUGAUGAAAGUUAUUUUUUGAAGGAAAAAAAAUCGUGGAUGAAAGCCCUAUCCUUCAAAAAAAUGUUUAUGUGUUUGAACCCAAAAAAAAAUUCCAAAAGCUCACGAAAAUUUUUAGUUUUUUCCCGCAUAUACCGGACGAAUCGUACGUCCUAGCAAAAAUCUGACGACAUAGUGGUCUGAAAGAGAAUUAAAUUCUCCAUACAAUUUCGUUAACGUAAAAUUUUCGCAGGACACUUAGUUUCAAAAUUUGUACGUCUUUGAAGUUGGAAUGUUGGGGUAACAAAAAGUUGGUCUUUGAAGUUGGCCAGACGAAAAGUUGCAGUAACUUUUUACAGAUAAUUCAGUGACACAAAAUUUUUACGGAAAGCUUUCAGCCAACACUGUAGAUGAAGAUCUGAAAUUGGUCAAAAUCUUCCAACUUGAGCUAAAUUUUGUACUACCUAAGUAUAUGUACCUACCUGUAUUUCCUCAGAUCAUGUUGCAUAAUUCGAACACUUUGAUGUGAUUUUAAGAGCGUGUAAGGUUUUGAAACCAUAAAACAUAAUUAAAUAUACGUGUACAGAUUAAAUUUUUAUCAUCGAACUAAUGAACUAGUUUGAAAAAUAAUCAACUAGCUAAUUAGUUUUCGAAAACGACAAAAUGAAGAAUGUUACGUUGGCGAUAUCGAUCCUUUUACUAACAACUGAUAUUUUUUGCAUGAAUAUGUGGAAAUGUCCAGACGGUAAGAGUAAAUGUAUCUGCAAUCGACCAUGUACCCAAUCUGACAAAAAUAAGGCUUGCAGUAAAAUUCAAGGGAGAAAAUCGGAUACCUCUAGUUUUUGCCAUUCAUCGCAAAAUUUUGAUGGCCACUUUGCUUGCCAUUGUAUUACGGACUAGAUCUAGUAUAUAGGUAAGUUUAGCACCAGGAAAAUUACCAAGAUACCUACUUUAUGAAAUGUUUUUAUUUUAUCAUACCGUUUAAUACAUUAAAUUUCUAUUCAAACUCGUUUAUGUAAAAUGAAUUUGUCGAAAGUAUGAAAAAAAUAAACAUUUUUUGUUUGUU